rnacentral:rRNA from 1 species
UACGAAGGGGGCUAGCGUUGCUCGGAAUUACUGGGCGUAAAGGGCGCGUAGGCGGACAGUUUAGUCAGAGGUGAAAGCCCAGGGCUCAACCUUGGAAUUGCCUUUGAUACUGGCUAUCUUGAGUUCGGGAGAGGUGAGUGGAAUGCCGAGUGUAGAGGUGAAAUUCGUAGAUAUUCGGCGGAACACCAGUGGCGAAGGCGACUCACUGGCCCGAUACUGACGCUGAGGCGCGAAAGCCAGGGGAGCGAACGGG